CCUACGGGAGGCAUCAGGCGCGAAAACUUUACAAUGCUGGCAACAGCGAUCAGGGAACCUCGAGUGCCAGGUUACAAAUCUGGCUGUCGAGAUGCCUAAAAAGCAUUUCAUAGCAAGGGCCGGGCAAGACCGGUGCCAGCCGCCGCGGUAACACCGGCGGCUCGAGUGGUAACCGUUAUUAUUGGGUCUAAAGGGUCUGUAGCCGGCCGGAUAAGUCUCGUGAGAAAUCUGGCAGCUUAACUGUCAGGCUUUCAGGGGAUACUGUCUGGCGCGAGGCCGGGAGAGGUGAGAGGUACUUCAGGGGUAGGGGUGAAAUCUUGUAAUCCUUGAAGGACCACCAGUGGCGAAGGCGUCUCACCAGAACGGACCUGACGGCAAGGGACGAAAGCUAGGGGCACGAACC
rnacentral:rRNA from 1 species